rnacentral:rRNA from 1 species
UACGGGGGGAGCAAGCGUUGUUCGGAUUUACUGGGCGUAAAGGGCGCGUAGGCGGUAGCACAAGUCAGUUGUGAAAUCUCCGGGCUUAACUCGGAAAGGUCAACUGAUACUGUGCGACUAGAGUGCAGAAGGGGCAACUGGAAUUCUCGGUGCAGCGGUGAAAUGCGUAGAUAUCGGGAGGAACACCGGUGGCGAAGGCGGCGACCUGGGGUAGAUACUGACGCUGGAGGCGACGAAAGGCGUGGGGAGCAAACAGG